rnacentral:rRNA from 1 species
CCUACGGGUGACAGCAGUGGGGGAUAUUGCACAAUGGGGGAAACCCUGAUGCAGCGACGCCGCGUGUGGGAAGACGGUCCUCUGGAUUGUAAACCACUGUCCCCAGGGACGAAGAUGACGGUACCUGGGGAGGAAGCUCCGGCUAACUACGUUCCAGCAGCCGCGGUAAUACGUAGGGAGCGAGCGUUGUCCGGAAUUACUGGGUGUAAAGGGAGCGUAGGCGGGGAUGCAAGUUGGGUGUAAAAACUACCGGCUCAACUGGUAGUCGCACUCAAAACUGCAGGUCUUGAGUGAAGUAGCGGCAGGCGGAAUGCCUAGUGUAGCGGUGAAAUGCGUAGAUAUUAGGAGGAACACCAGUGGCGAAGGCGGCCUGCUGGGCUUUUACUGACGCUGAGGCACGAAAGUGUGGGGAGCAAACAGGAUUAGAUACCCUUGUAGUC